rnacentral:rRNA from 1 species
UACGAACUGUGCGACCGUUAUUCGGAAUCACUGGGCUUACAGGGUGCGUAGGCGGCUCAACAAGUCAGGUGUGAAAGCCCCCGGCUCAACCGGGGAACUGCGCUUGAAACUGUUGGGCUCGAGUCAGCUAGAGGUACACGGAACUUCCAGUGGAGCGGUGAAAUGUGUUGAUAUUGGAAGGAACACCGGAGGCGAAAGCGGUGUACUGGGGCUGGUCUGACGCUGAGGCACGAAAGCCAGGGGAGCGAACGGG